rnacentral:misc_RNA from 1 species
AUCCAAUGGUUGAGUUUUAGUUCAUUCCUGAUUCUUUUGAUAAUUAGAUAACUUCUUUUAGUCCUCUUAGAGGCUGGGACCUCAUGUUUUUUUAGAGGAGUUUUUGUUGUGCACAGAUUUUAGGGUUUGUUUUUUUUUUUCCGUUUUCGUUUUACCAUUAUGGGUCUGGGUUUUUCCAAAAUUGCCUGAUUUUGUGCUCCUUUGCUCGUGGGGUAGUUUUGUCAUUUCAUUGAAUUGUUGCUGGAAGCCCUUCUCCCUUUUUUGUCCCCUUCAGGAAAAAUAAACCUGAAUUGAAUUGCUCUCUAUGAAAAGUACUUUUUCAAUAGAAAUUUCGUGGUGAUAAUUCUCUGAGAGAGUGAUGAAGUCCCAUUAAACUUAUUGAUUGGUUCAUUGAUUAGUGAAAUUGGUUUUGACUCAAAAGUGUUUGGUGACUUGAAUUUUAUAUUGUACAGAGAGAAACAUAUACAAGCACAACUCUAAUUGCAGUGUGUAGAGCAGUUUUAAGGAUUUGGAUUUGCAAAUUUUGGUUGAUGAAAUAGUUAGGUGAAAAUAAAAGUUAAUUGAUGU